rnacentral:rRNA from 1 species
UACGUAGGGGGCAAGCGUUAUCCGGAUUUACUGGGUGUAAAGGGAGCGUAGACGGUGCGCCAAGUCUGGAGUGAAAUGCCGCAGCUUAACUGCGGAACUGCUUUGGAAACUGUCUGGCUAGAGUGCAGGAGAGGUAAGUGGAAUUCCUAGUGUAGCGGUGAAAUGCAUAGAUAUUAGGAGGAACACCAGUGGCGAAGGCGGCUUACUGGACUGUAACUGACGCUGAUGCGCGAAAGCGUGGGGAGCAAACAGG